CUCUCAUCAUUCUCCUUGGAACUUGUGCUGAAUGUGGCACUUCCGGCUGAGCUGCGUCUAUCACCCAACUCAAAGUCAACACUGAUGCGCAAGUGCUUCAAUAAGGUGUUAAAAACCUCCAGAACUGUUGGACCUAUCGAUCCUUUAGCGGCUAUUGCAACUGCUUCCAAAAGAACCUGAAUAAUGCCAGCACGAACUCGUGGUGGAUCUUUUUUGCAGGCAUCAAGGUGUCCAAGAAUUUCUUGUAUUACAUGAUGAGAAUAUUGUGCCUGUAUAGAAUACAUGAUGAUUUUGAAGCAAGAAACAGCGAAUUCAUUGGGAUCCCAUAGCUUAUGAUGGUCUAAAUGCGCAAAAACAGGUCUGACAGCA
rnacentral:lncRNA from 1 species